UACGUAGGGAGCAAGCGUUAUCCGGAUUUAUUGGGUGUAAAGGGUGCGUAGACGGAGAAGCAAGUUAGUUGUGAAAUCCCUCGGCUUAACUGAGGAACUGCAACUAAAACUACUUCCCUUGAGUACCGGAGAGGAAAGUGGAAUUCCUAGUGUAGCGGUGAAAUGCGUAGAUAUUAGGAGGAACACCAGUGGCGAAGGCGACUUUCUGGACAGUAACUGACGUUGAGGCACGAAAGUGUGGGGAGCAAACAGG
rnacentral:rRNA from 1 species